rnacentral:lncRNA from 1 species
UCUGUCGUAUAGCGAGGUUUGCUAUCACUUUAAAUUCUUCUCGUCUUGAGUCAUUCCAUCCUGUAUGUAAUUCAAACAGGUUUUUGUAUAAUUAUUUCUCUUAAUAAUUACCAUUAUACAAUUGCUAUAGCUGCCAGUUUUGUUUCUCUUUUCUGCCAGAGAAUAGGAGAAAUGCAUUACGCAUUUGUGUAACUUACGAUCUUUGAUUCAUGCUUAAAAUGCAUGGAAUAUUUUUCAUUUUCUGUUUGAGGCAGUACCUCAUCUGGGAUCACAUCUCACAGUGUAAGCUUACACUGUAUAAAUGGACUCCUUGUAUUGCAACUAGGUAUAAACUACAGUAAAAAAGCAAAGGAGGUCAAGAGAAUUGAAUUUCUUAAGGCGAUGGGGGCCAGUGAAUAUUAAUGGCUGCAGGUAGAGGCACGCUGCAUCUGGACAGUAAUGCAGAAAGCCUUUUUGUAUGGUCAUUUUUUUUUUCCCCUUUAAAAUAAAUUUGAUUUGACCAUCAUUAUAGCCCUUUGUUGUUGUCUUUUGAUGAGGAUUCUAGGAAAUUGGCUUGCUGGCAUGCAUGGCUUACUGGCAGGGAGAGCAAGCUGGAAUUUGCAAGCACAAGUGUUCCUACUAGAGAUCUAAUUCAAGAAGUUAUAUUCUCCAGUUGAGAGAAGAAAAAAGUUUUUUAGGGUUGAGGUUUUUUUGUGUAUGCUUUUCUUGUUUUUUUCUCCAGGGUAGAUGGGAGCAGGCACAGCAGCCUGAGGGAGAGAUGCAUGUGCUCAUCCCCAGCACACCUGGCUCCUUGCUGAUGUCUGCCUUGGAGCUGCCACUGGAGAAGAUAGGAAAUGAGCACGCAUGGAGGGGAUGUCCUAUGGCCAAGGAGCUCCAGCACAACAGAUUCAAAGCAGAAAAAGCCUCCAUUGCCAUUGGGAAGACAGACUGGGAGAAAUCUUUGUCACGCUCAUUUUUCAUCUGCAUCCCAGCAUAGCAGUCAGCUGCUCGAGACCUGCCCGCCUCCGUGACGUUUCCAGGAGGGCCCAGCGGUGCCCACCUCGUGCUCCAAAGCUCUUUGGCCAGAAGUUACACUUGGACCAACCGAGGCUGCUUUGCUGAAUCCAUCUCAGUAUCCCACUCACAGAAGCUUUUAAUUUCCUCACUACCAGUUUGAGGGGGAUGGGAGUAGAAUAAAUUGAGAGCGGAAUAAAUUUACGCUCUGUUA